CCCAAAUUUAAGACUUUGUAGAAAACUAAAAAAAUCUAAAAAUGUUCAUCCAAAUGUCAAAAUUAUUUUCUCAGAAGUUUUUGAGUAUAUAGAUUUAGAAGUCCUUUCAAUUUUAUUGCAAUAACGUGCAAGUUUCAAGUG